GAUAACAUUCGUCUCCAGCUCAAUAGAUGGCGGUUAAAAGGUUCCUUAGAAUAUUAGUGCAUAAAAUUAGCGUAGAGGAGUGUAAUGUAGGUAGUUAUAAUCUUUGAUAAAUAUGGUAUGUGGGUAUUCGGGUUGUUCGCAAAUAAAUGGCGUACUGACGGACGUGUUGGAAGCGCUGGUGGCCUUGCGCGAUAAGAGCGUGCGACUUUCAAUCCGGAGGUCGCGGGUUCAAACCCCGGCUCGUACCAAUGAGUUUUUCGGAAAUUAUGUACGAAAUAUCAUUUGAUAUUUACCAGUCGAUUUUCGGUGAAGGAAAACAUCGUGAGGAAACCGGACUAAUCCCAAUAAUGCCUAGUUUCCCCUUUGGGUUGGAAAGUCAGAUGGCAGUCGCUUUCGUAAAAACUAGUGCCUACGUCAAAUCAUGGGAUUAGUUGUCAAGCGGACCUCAGGCUCCCAUGAGCCGUGGCAAAAUGCCGGGACAACGCGA